UAAACCAACAAAGGUGUUGUCGCGACGGA
rnacentral:piRNA from 1 species